rnacentral:misc_RNA from 1 species
GAUGAAGAACGUAGCGAAAUGCGAUAAGUAAUGUGAAUUGCAGAAUUCAGUGAAUCAUCGAAUCUUUGAACGCACAUUGCGCCCGCCAGUAUUCUGGCGGGCAUGCCUGUUCGAGCGUCAUUUCAACCAUCAAGCCCCCGGCUUGUGUUGGGGACCUGCGGCUGCCGCAGGCCCUGAAAACCAGUGGCGGGCUCGCUAGUCACUCCGAGCGUAGUAAUACAUCUCGCUCAGGGCGUGCUGCGGAUUCCGGCCGUUAAAAAGCCUUAUUUACCCAAGGUUGACCUCGGAUCAGGUAGGAAGACCCGCUGAACUUAAGCAUAUCAAUAAGCGGAGGA